GACGAACGCUGGCGGCGUGCUUAACACAUGCAAGUCGAACGGAAAGGCCCUGCUUUUGUGGGGUGCUCGAUUGGCGAACGGGUGAGUAACACGUGAGUAACCUGCCCUUGACUUUGGGAUAACUUCAGGAAACUGGGGCUAAUACCGGAUAGGAGCUCCUGCUGCACGGUGGGGGUUGGAAAGUUUCGGCGGUUGUGGAUGGACUCGCGGCUUAUCAGCUUGUUGGUGGGGUAGUGGCUUACCAAGGCUUUGACGGGUAGCCGGCCUGAGAGGGUGACCGGCCACAUUGGGACUGAGAUACGGCCCAGACUCCUACGGGAGGCAGCAGUGGGGAAUAUUGCACAAUGGGCGGAAGCCUGAUGCAGCAACGCCGCGUGCGGGAUGACGGCCUUCGGGUUGUAAACCGCUUUCGCCUGUGACGAAGCGUGAGUGACGGUAAUGGGUAAAGAAGCACCGGCUAACUACGUG
rnacentral:rRNA from 1 species